AGCGAACGCUGGCGGCAGGCUUAACACAUGCAAGUCGAGCGGGCGUAGCAAUACGUCAGCGGCAGACGGGUGAGUAACGCGUGGGAACGUACCUUUUGGUUCGGAACAACACAGGGAAACUUGUGCUAAUACCGGAUAAGCCCCUUACGGGGGAAAGUAUUUAUCGUCGAAAGAUCGGCCCGCGUCUGAUUAGCUUGUUGGUGAGGUAACGGCUCACCAAGGCGACGAUCAGUAGCUGGUCUGAGAGGAUGAUCAGCCACAUUGGGACUGAGACACGGCCCAAACUCCUACGGGAGGCAGCAGUGGGGAAUAUUGGACAAUGGGGGAAACCCUGAUCCAGCCAUGCCGCGUGAGUGAU
rnacentral:rRNA from 1 species